rnacentral:rRNA from 1 species
CCCUACUGCUAUCGGGGUGGGACUAAGACAUGCUAGUCGAGCGCCCUGAGCUAUGGCGAGGCGCGGCGUACAGCUCAGUAACACGUGGCUAACCUACCCUUAGGACGGAGACAACCCCGGGAAACUGGGGCUAAUAUCUGAUAGGUGAGGAGGCCUGGAAUGGUUCUUCGCUGAAAAGGCGUUGAAACCAUGCUUUUCAGCGUCGCCUAAGGAUGGGGCCGCGUCCGAUCAGGUUGUUGGUGGGGUAACGGCUCACCAAGCCUAUAACCGGUACGGGCCGUGAGAGCGGGAGCCCGGAGAUGGGCACUGAAACAGGGGCCCAGGCCCUACGGGGCGCAGCAGUCGCAAAACCUCCACAAUGCACGAAAGUGCGAUGGGGUUACCCCUAGUGCCGUCCGCUGAGGAUGGCUUUUACCCGGUGUAAUGAGCCGGGAGAAUAAGGAGAGGGCAAGUCUGGUGUCAGCCGCCGCGGUAAUACCAGCUCUCCGAGUGGUAGGGAUGAUUAUUGGGCUUAAAGCGUUCGUAGCCGGCUUAGCAAGUCUCCUGUUAAAUUCAGCGACCCAAUCGUUGAGCCGCGGGGGAUACUACUAGGCUAGGAGGCGGAAGAGGUCAACGGUAUUCUUGGGGUAGGGGUGAAAUCCUAUAAUCCCAAGAGGACCACCAGUGGCGAAGGCUGUUGACUAGUACGCGCUCGACGGUGAGGGACGAAAGCUGGGGGAGCGAACCGGAUUAGAUACCCGGGUAGUCCCAGCUGUAAACGAUGCGGGCUAGGUGUUGAGGUGGCUACGAGCCACUUCAGUGCCGCAGGGAAGCCAUUAAGCCCGCCGCCUGGGGAGUACGGUCGCAAGGCUGAAACUUAAAGGAAUUGGCGGGGGAGCACCACAAGGCGUGAAGCUUGCGGUUU